GCACCGCGCGGGGAGCGCGCCGGGGUGCGAGCGGUGCGCGCUCCGAGUGGCCGGGACGCGCGCCAGUCCUGGGAGCUUGCACUGCUCGGGGGGGUUACGUGGAGACUUGCGUGGUGUCCUUUACCGCCGCCGCCUGCCCUCCGGUCCCUGGGCGCUGUGGCUCCGCGUUAGGGUGCUGGCGGGAGGGGUGCCGAUCCGGUUCUGCGCGUCCGGUGGGUUCUCCGGGCCAGCGCCCCGCGGCGCCCGGGCUUUAUGCUGUAAUUGCGCCCGGCGGCGCCCGGCGCCCGCACCGGCGCGCGUCUCGCCCGUGCCGUGCACACGCCCUGCACCGCCCCACUUUGCACACGCACACGCACACGAGUCCUUGGGGCCCUGGAGCAUCGUGCUCGCCUCGCGCCUCCCGGCCCGCCCUUGCGCUCAGUCGCUCCCCAGGGAGCGCCCAGCUGCGAGCAAAACAAGCCUCGCUGCGAAACAGUCCCCCGGGGAGACAGCCCUUUCCCCGGAGCACAGACACCACACCUUCACCGCGCAAGCCUUCGGUCCGGGCCGAACCCGGGCGCUCCGGCGCCUACGCACCCCACGAUUCCUCCCCGGUGCUCCGUACGCCGCCGUGAUCCUCCAUUCCACGGCUCCUCGAUAUCCAUUAUUCAUUAGUGGUCGCAGAAGCAGGCUAGCUUUUCCCCCAUCGUUCAGUGGAGGAUCAGCAGUGCUACUUGGAAGUUGGUAUUGGAAGAGGCCAUUCCCUGUCUACGUGUCCCUGUCUUGAAGAGGAGAUAAUAACACACUAGUACUUUCGCAAUGCAAUUUUGUUACCGCAAGUGUCAUGCUUUGAAACGACUGUGGAUGAAAGAGACAAAUUCCCCGCUCUCGUUUCCCUUCAGGGUCCCAUGAGCUCCUUUCUUCUUACUGCCAUAUUUUAAGCCCUCCGGUAGUCAGAUUCACAACCAGCCUCUAAAGGGUCGUCAAAUGUCUGUUGUAUCGUGUUGUGUAUUUCCCCUCCCGAGAACCCACAUCCCUUAGAAGGAUCUGAAGGCAGAGGGAGCUGACAUGGAGGCUUCUGCCUUGUCUAUUCAUUUUAUUUACGUUCAUUUAAUUCUCGACUGCAGAGAACCUACAUCUUUUGUAUUUCUCAAAGGUAGAGGUAUUAUCACAUGCUCCAGAAGGGAGUGCAAAAUAACAUCUUCAAAAUAGGCAGCGCCCACGAAGUAGACUGCUGCUACAUAAAUGAGGAAUCCAGGUAUCUGGGUGGACCAGAGUGGACCAAUCAUUGUGAUAAGCAGAGCUUCACUUUUUGGAAAAUUGAACCAAAAUACAUUAUUUAGCAUUGUCUUUGGUUCCCUUUCUUAUCCCCCUCCCUCAGUUUAAUCAGGCAAAAAUCGUCCUCUUCUCCAAUGAUAUUAGACUCUGAGCACCGAGAAAAGGCAGAACUAUAGAGACUAUAUGUUCUGAACCCCAAACUGGACUCAUAGUUUGGCAUGUGGACCUGUGACAGUAGAGAUAAUGUUUGAAACUAAAGUUGACCCAGAAACAUUGAGGCAUAUGGUGGCCAUGAAUGUUAAGACUGCAGAGCAGUGUCACUUAUUAGUGGUUGUUUGAACUGAUAAAGUAUGAGUAGGAACCCCAGGCACAACUGUAAAAAUGGGUACGUUCAUGUUUCGGGUU
rnacentral:lncRNA from 10 species